UAAUUGCGUUAGGGAUUGUAGUGGAAAGCCCACAGCGAGGAACGAGCGAGGACUUGUAGCGUAAAGCCCGACGCCGA
rnacentral:sRNA from 1 species